ACAGCCCGUCCCGGAAUUUUAAUUCCGAGGACAUGAAAAGACGAAAAUGCCCUUAAACGGGACUAAGGGGCGAAAAUUUAACAAUUUGGAUUGAGUUGGACACGUGGGAUCCCCACACCCCCUCAAUCCUCUCCCUAUUUUCUGCAUACUGUCUCUCUCUCUCCUCCCUCACGAAUCUCUCUCUCUGUCACUCUUCUUCUCCGUUCGAACAAACCAACCACAAAACAACCUUAAACUUCCACCAACGACGGAGUUAAGACCACCAUCGAACUCCUGGAGACUCCACGAUCACGUAGACACCAAUUUCAGGUAAGUUUUACUUCGGAAAACCUAGAUCUAACUCCCGUGAAAGUGCACUGUUCAUGAUCUUCGAAUUGACUUUGUUUUAGGACAAUCCAAGCUCACAGUGAGCUUUAGUGAGGUUCCAAGGAAGCUCGGAGUGCUUUUGGAAGUUUUGGGACGUAAGAACACGGAGAUCGAUAAGUUCAAAGUUUGGCCGGAGCUUUCGAGGCAUUUUCCGGCGAAUCCCCGGCGAGUUAGGCGUCGAGGUAGGUAUCAAUCUCUUCGUUCGUCAAUUCUCAACUUUCCUUUUUGUUUCACUCAAUUUCGUUGAGUAUUGAAGAAGUUAUACUCAUUUGAAAAUACCCAGUUUCCGGCGACUCCGAGCUUUCGAGGCAGUUUCCGGCCAAACUACGGCGAACUAGGUGUUGGGAAAGGUACCAUUCUCUUUUGUCUCUUCAAGGGCUACAACUUUCGUUUUUUGAAUCACUUGAUUUCGUUGAGAAAUGACAAAGUUUAUGGCAAUUUGAAAAACUGCCCAGAAAACGGCCGCCGGAAAAACCAGUCCGGCGACCCAAGGAAGAAGAAGGUGCUACAGUAAAAAAUAAAAAAUAAAAAUAAAAUUAUUUUAAAAAUAUGUCGACGUCCGUGGACGUCGAGUAGAUCACUGUGGUAUAUUCAUAUACCUAAAUUGAACACCGUAUGAGAAAGUUAUUGAAGAUUGUUGGUUAGGUGUUCAAAUAACGUUUUAUAGUUUUCACAUUUUAGGUGAAAAUGUGAAUUGAUGAUCCGACCGUUGGAUCGUCACCAAAACUUUGAUACGUUGUAAUACGUAAUAUUUGAGGAUUAUUGGAACUUACGGAUUGGGAAUCCGAGUUACGGAUCUUCCGGAAUUGGAAUUGUAAGUCCAUAAUAUAAAAUGUUAACCGUCACUUAGUUUUGGAAAUUGACGGAGAUCCGACCGUUGGAUGGUAAUGAAAUUUAGGAUGUUGUCCUAGAGGUAUAAUGUGGACCUCUGGAAGUUAUGGAUUUAAAAUCUGAGUGGCAGAUCUUCCGGAUCGAUCAACGUAGUGACGUAUUUUAUAUAAGUUAUAUAUUCUAUCGAUAUGAAUUCUGAGGUUGGAUUUGAUUACUAUUCUAGGCGCGAUCGUCGUGACGCCUUGAUGUGGUGUAGGGAGUUGUUGGGCGAACUCCAGGUGAGUGGGCAGUUUUGUUUUCCGUAUAUAUAUAUAUAUAUAUACUUGACGUUUCCCAGAAAUUGAAAAUGCAUGAAAUUAUGCUUUAAAUGAAAAUGCAUAAAAGUAUAUGAAAAGUAUAUAGAAAUGUGAGUUGAAAUGCCAUGCAUGAAUUAAUAUAUGAUGCAUAUGUAUGAAUUGGUGCGGUGGACGCACAGGUAAGAAUUGAUUUAUUGAUGCAUAUGUAUGAAUUGGUGCGGUGGACGCACAGGUAAGAAUGAUUUAUGAUGUGAUAUGUAUGAUAUGAUGAAUGGUGCGGUGGACGCACAGAUGAGUAUUUAAUUACUGUUAUGAUGAUGAUGAUAUAUAUAUUGAGCUCAAUCCUGCACCAUGGUUUAGUGCUUAUAGUAUCACCGCAUCGCACGCUCGCCUUGGAUCCAAGUAGAUGCUAGUCGUACAGUCCACGCGGAGUGGGUACGACAGGCCAGUCGCGAGAGUGUUAGUGAGAUUCCGACUGGUGGGUGACCUUAGAUUAUGUGCACAGAUGAUUUAUGAGAAGCACUAGAGCGUAACUUGUGUGCAGAAGGCCGGACGGGUCACAGAGGUGACUCCGGUAGAGUGAUAAUGAUAGAUUUUGAGCUCUAGGUUCAACCGUACAGGGCUAUUGGAGGGCCUCCGGUUGAUUACUUUCUUGCACCUGAUAUGAUUAUUGUUGAUGCAUCCAUACUUAACUGUUGAAUUAGACAUGGCAUGGCAUGAUUGAUAAAGAAAAAAUGUUGAGUUAAUGAAUUAAAGUAUUGAGAAUAUAUAUGUAUAUUUAUAUUUUACAUUUCUGGGAAAAUAUACAGGUUUUACGGAGAGGGGUUACAACGUUUUGAAAAAUGUUUGGAUUUGGAAAAGAAUUGUUUUACUGACCCACUCAAUUUUGGUUUUGCGCCCCUCCAGGUUCAGGAAUCACAAAGGUGUGGUGACUACGAGGAAUACGGCGGGGUUCUGACAGAUUGGACAAAAUUAGGACUCACCUUCGGUGUAUCAACUUAUAAAUUGUAUCUUAAAGCUUCCGUACUGUGCAAAUGGUUACGUCACUCUCACGUGACGGCCAGCAUGCCCUCCUUCGGGACGGGGGUGUGUCAGUUGGUAUCAGAGCAUGGUUGCAAUCUUGGACAUCUUGAGAAGUUUCUAGUGAAUCUGUCAGAACUACACCGCCUCGUAGCAAACCACGUAGUUAGAGGAAUUUAGUUCUCCCUAAAUAUAGCGGUUUAGGGGAAACUAUUACAAUGGUGAUUCAGUAUAUUAUCAAAAGGGACAUUUUAAGACGGAUUAUGAGUCGAAUUUGAAUCACCUUAUGAAAUGAUGAACCUGAGGGAGCGAAGUAACGGUUUAACCAUUUGGAAAAGAUGUUUCGGAUUAUGCAAGUCAAAGGAAUCUUCCUUCUGACAAGGGUCGAGAUGACUACCUGGUUUGAGUUAUGAACGUGUAUCCUGAUGGAAGCAGGAGUAUUAAUUGUUGUCACCGGAGGAACAGCCGAUUUAAAAUUGUUUAAGGACUUGUUUAAGGAAAAGUUUAUCCCUCCGGCAUUUAUCGAUGGUAGUAAACAAGAGUUUACAAAUAUGAGACAAGGAAGGUGAUGAUCGAGGAUAUUAUAGAAAGUUUUCAGACUUGCCUUGUUCCAUCCAGAUAUUGUUGUUAUUGGUGGAGGUGUUAUGUUGUUUUAAGCUGGGUGGCAAAAAGGGAAGUGGUAUUUGGGUGACCACUAUCCAUUAUACUUCUUACCAGGAAUAUACGAGAUGCUGUUGAGUCUUGAGGACUCUGAGAACAUGAUCAACGAGAAUAAAGAAGAAUAAGAAAUGAAUGGGAAUUAAAAGAAGACGAUAAAGUUAAUGAUUCGUCAUAUCAAGGAGAUAGAAAGAUUCAGAGCUUCGAAAGAAGUGAAGCUAGAGUUAAUUCUUCCAGCUGAGGUUUUAAUGUCGCUGGUCAGAGUAAAAGUGAUGGAUAUACUGGUAAUCCCAGAUAUUUGAGACAAGGUGUCUCGAGUAAAGGAAAUGUACUUUGUGCAGCAGGUACAAAAUUAACACUUUGGGAAGUGUGAAAUUAAUGAAUGUGUUUAUGUGAACAGAGGGGACACAGAAUUGUGAAUCGUCCCUAUAAUCAGUUGUACCCAACAGUUUUCUAUGACAUCAUAGUGUUGAUUCAGCAGAGUUAUGGAUUUAGUAGUUUGGUCGGAUUGACCGUGAGUACAGAGAGAUUUGAUGAGUUAUAUGUUCAGCCGUACAGACCAUGAGAAGUGGAUUCGAUUGACACAUGAGAAAUUGGUGAGUUAUAGGCUCGGCCGUACCGACCACGCGGAGUGGAUCCGGCCGACGUAUUAUUGAGAUAAUUGUUGAAUCAGCCGUACAGGUCAUUCUAGUUGACUUCGACUGAUAUAUUUCUUAUUAUGUAUGUUAUUACCUAGAGAGUAGUAAAUAAAUGUAGUUGAGACGAGUAUAUGUAUUUUACAUUGAGUGACAAAAUAGUAAUGUUAUAUCUUUGAGAGUGGUUGCCUACUUAUCGAGACAACGAUGAUUUAUCAGUAUUGCGGGCUGCAGACCGUAAUAUUAAUAACUCAUUCGUGGAUUCGUUAAGCAAGCAAACCGGUAGGUUAUUUUAUGCUAGUGUUGUACUUACUUAGAAUGUUCAGUAAUAAUAGAAUAUAUAUUGUAUCAAUUAAUUUUAUUCCAUUAGAGUGAUUGUUUAUAGUUGUGACUAGAUGGAAUGUUACGGGAAACCAGUUACUUUCCAUCGAGUUGAUUAAUUAGAGGUUACUUUGGUGGGUAUACAAAGUGAAGUGAGUUCAGCCAUUAUUUAUGCUGUGAAAGCAAAGAGAUUGUUUUGAAAGGCUGCCCAAAAAUACUUAGCUCAUGUGGUGCUAAAUGAUGUUGUUUGGAGAAGUGUGAAAAAUGAAAAAGGGGUUAGACUUUCUUGAUGUCUUCCUUGAAAGUAUACCUGGAUUGCCUUCAGGCAGAGAUAUGAGGUUCACUAUUGAUUUGUUGCCAGGUAUAAAUUUAUGUUAAAGAUUGGUUCAUGAUGAGUUAAGGGAAAUGGAAAUUUAGUUGAAAGAAUUGGUUGAUAAAAGUUUUAUUCAACCUAGUACAACGCUUUGGGGGAGCCCCAGUUUGUUGGUGAGGAAGAAAAUGGACUUAGAGAUUGUUCAUUGAUUAUAGACAAUGGAGUCGGGUAACGAUUAAGAACCGUUAUCCAUGGUAAUGUACUGAUGUUUAUUUAACCAGCUCAGAAGUAAUUGCGAAGAUUCAAAGAUUGAAUUGAGAUCUGGUUACUACCAAUUGAAUAUUAUAAGUGACGUUGAUCAUAAGAUGGUUUUCUGGACUUGUUAUGGUCCUUAUGAAGUUUGGUGAUGCUAUGUGGAUACUCAUGCUGUUUUAUGAGUUGAUGGAUGAAGUAUUCCAAUAAUGCCUUGAUAGAUUGAUAUCAUUUUUAUUGAAGAUAUUCUGGCAUAUUCUGAGCCAGAGCAGAGCAUUGUAAACGUAUUAAGUCGGUGAACCAAAAUUUGAGAGAACGUUGGUUGUAUGCUAAGUUAGCAAAUGCUAAAGUUAGACGAAUCAGGUGGCAUUCUGAGAUUUGUUAUAUAUUCUUAAGGUAUUCAAGUGAAUCCUUAAAAGAUAGCAGAAAUUGAGAAAUUGGAACAACCACGAGCGUAAUUGUAAUUGAGAUUCAGAAUUUCUUAGCUUACCAGGCUAUCUUGGAUGGUUGUGAAAGAUUUUUCAGUCAUUGCUUUGUCAUUGACGAGACUGUCGAGAAAAGAGGUUAUGUAUGAGUGGGAAGGAAAUUGUGAGCAAAGGAUUCAACAACUGAAGUAUUUCCUCACUCAUGCACGUAUUUUGGUAUUCCCAGAGAAUAGUGGUAAUCAUAAAUUUUUAGUGAUGUUUCUUGAAUGGUAUUGGAUGCAUGUUGAUGCAAAUGUUAGGGUGAUUGCAUACGUUUCACGAUAAAUGGAAUCUCAUAAGAUGAAUUACCCUACGGGUGACUUAGAAAUCAUGAUUACCAUUCUUGCUGUGAAGUUAUGAAGGCAUUAUAUUUGGUAAGAAUGCAAGAUUUUUACGAAUCCAAAAAGUCUUCAAUAUCCAUUACUUGGAAGGAUUUUGAUAUGAGGCAGCGAAAGUGAAUUGUAUUGCUUAAUGAACAUGAUUGUACGAUCAGGAUGAUCGUAAAGUUUGUUCUAACUGAAGCACUUGGUGAGAAGACUACAGUAAGAUUAAUGUCUGGCACGUUUGCCAAGAGUAUCAUCUUGUGGAUUGAAAACCAACGGAAGAAAAAUUAAGAAUGGAAGAUCGAGAAGAAGUUAUACUUGUUAAAUUUCAAGUUAGGCCUGUUGGUAAGGUCGUACUUGAAACUUAAAUGCUUGACGAAGAAAUUUAAGAAUUAACCAAGGUAGAGAAAGAAGGUAAGUUAAAUCCUAAGUUAAUCGGACUUAAGUGAUUAUCGAAAAGUUGGUGAAGUUGCUUACAAGCUUGUGAUGCCCUCAGAAUUGGUUAAGGUGCAAAACAUAUUUUAUGAUUCGAUGCGUUGUCACUAGGUGGCAGAUUCGUCACAUGAGAUUCUGGUGUAACUAUUGAGAAUUAAAUUGGAUUCGACUUGAUAAGAAUCAAGGACGACUUUGGAUUGGAAAAAGAAGUCCUGAGAAUUAAGACAGAGUAAGUAGUAAAAGCUUUGUGAAGGAAAUCAUUCAGUAGAAAAGUAUGUGGGAGAAAGAGAAUCGGAUGAGAAAGAUUUACCCGAAGCUAUUGUUGGAGUAGGUUGAUUUAGUUGGUUGCUGGAAUUUCGGGGACGAAAUUCUAUAAGGAGGGAAGAUUGUCACAGCCCGUCCCGGAAUUUUAUUCCGAGGACUGAAAAAGACGAAAAUGCCCUUAAACGGGACUAAGGGCGAAAUUUAAACAAUUGGAUUGAGUUGGACACGUGGGAUCCCCACACCCCCCUCAAUCCUCUCCCUAUUUUCUGCAUACUGUCUCUCUCUUCCUCCCUCACGAAUCUCUCUCUCUGUCACUCUUCUUUCUCCGUUCGAACAAACCAACCACAAAAAACCUUAAACUUCCACCAACGACGGAGUUAAGACCCCAUCGAACUCCUGAGACUCCCACGAUCACGUAGACACCAAUUUCAGGUAAGUUUACUUCGGAAAACCUAGAUUCUAAACUCC
rnacentral:lncRNA from 1 species